CAGUGGGAUUACUUGGUGCGACUAGAGUGUGGUAGAAGCGUAGCGGAAUUCCUGUGUAGCAGUGAAAAUGCGUAGAGAUCAGGAGGAACAUCCCAUGGCGAAGGCAGCUACCUGGACCAACACUGACACUGAGGCACGAAAGCGUGGGGAGCAAACAGGAUUAGAUACCCUGGUAGUCCACGCCCUAAACGAUGCGAACUGGAUGUUGGGUGCAAUUUGGCACGCAGUAUCGAAGCUAACGCGUUAAGUUCGCCGCCUGGGGAGUACGGUCGCAAGACUGAAACUCAAAGGAAUUGACGGGGG
rnacentral:rRNA from 2 species